ensembl:lncRNA
GCAGAGGGUUAAAUCCCUUCCAAAACCCCUUUUGUUCAGCCCCAGGGGCUCGUUUUAACUAACCUCGGGGAUUUCAGUGGAGUUAUUAGUCAAAGUGGUGCAGAUAGAUGUGGAUGGAUUAUAGCAGCACUGCUAAGUUUGCCAAGGAACUGACUUCAGAUGAACUGAUGCAAAUGUUCUUAAGAACAGUUUCCAUGCAGCUUAAGAGUGAGCAACAGCAAGAAAGGAAAAUACCUUAAUUAAAAUAGUUAAAUCACAUAAAGUUUCUCACUGGAUGAAAACAAAGAUUGCUUAGCAGAAAAAAGGCAAAGGGAUCCUAAGAAGAGGAGUGGCUAACACAGGGUAGUUCUGCACAUUCCAAAAGCCAUAGCUCAUCAAAAGCCCUGGGGUGAUUCAUGUCUUGGGGAAAGCAGAAAUACCUGGGAAGGAGGUGGAGCCAGAUCCAGCAUCUCCCUGGUGGGCAGGAAAGUCUCAUCAGUCUGUGAAGGCAGGAGGGUUUCAGGAGGAUGGAGGCAGGUUACUGGUUGCCACAGGAGAGGUACUCAGGCAAGAAUUUCUGCUUCUGCCCCCAUCACCUGGGCUGCUGUCAAGAUGUUUUCCUGGACAAUCCUCUUCUCUCCAGCAAAGACGCCGGGCUGAUGGGAAAGGCCAUGCCAGCGGGCAGGUUUUCACUUUCGCCUCAGCACACCUUGCGCUCCAGACACUUUGUGCCUUGCCUGCCUCUCAAGCAAUAGCCAGCCUUCAGAAGUCCUACUCCAGGUAAGAGGGUUGUAAGGGGGAAAAUGAAGUUGCUGAGAUUUGAAGGGAGAUAACACUGUCAGAGUAUUUUCAGAUUACCUUUCUUGCCACCUAAAUCACACAGAGGUUGUUAGAUUCCCUCUCCUCCUGACUCUCCACACCCAUGCACCCACCCUGGGUUACCUCUAAAACAACAACAACAUGGGACAAGAAGUUAAGUCCAGAAAAGCAAUUUUCCCGAUCUGCUGCUUUUGGUGGGAUUAGAGUUACUUUUUUUCCUAGUAGCUCCUAUGGGGCUGUUUCAGAUUUGUGCUGGUAACAGAGCUGAUAAUUCAGGGAUGCUUUAGUUGUUGCUGAGCAGUGCUUACACAGAGUCAAGGCCUUUUCUGCUUCUCACCCCACCCCAAGAGAGGAGGCUGGGGGACAAGGAGUUGGGAGGGGACAACCAGGACAGCUGAGCCUGACUGAUCCAAGGGAUAUCCCAGACCUCAUGGCAUCAUGCUCAGCAUAUAAAGCUGGGGAAAGAAGGAGAAAGGGGGGACAAUCAGAGUGAUGGCAUUUAUCUUCCCAAGUCAUCACUACAGGUGACAGAGCCCUGCUGUCCUGGGGAUGGCUGAACACCUGCCUGCCCAUGGGAAGUAGUGAAUGAAUUCCACAUUUUACUUUACCUGAUCAACUGUCUUUAUCUCAGCCCGUAAGUUUUCUCACUUUUACUUUUCUGAUUCUCUUCCCCAUCCCACUUGGGAUGAGUGACUGAGGGGCUGCGUGGAGAUUAGAUGCCAAAUGGGGUUAAAACACAACACCCUACCCACUUGUCCUCAGCACUUGAGCACUUCAUCUAUUUUAGAGGCACAAUUACAUCUUCCAAAUGGAUUCACUCAGAACAUCCAAAAAGGAAAAGCAUCUGUAUCAAACAUGCCCAAAUGUGGACACCUGUAAGCACACAUCAUAUGUGUCAAUUGUACUGCCAUCCUGUCUAAAAAACCACACACAGAUUGCUUCUGUGGUCUCUAAGACAUUAGAAACUACACAUUAAAAGGAUGCAAAGGCUAUUUUUAAAGUAAACCCCAGAAUCACAGAAUAUUCUGAUUUGGAAGGGACCCACAAGGAUCACUGAAUUCAACUCUAAAAUGAAUGGCCCAUACAGGGAUCAAAUCCACAACCUUGGCAUUAUUAGCACCAUGCUCUGACCAACUGAGCUUAAAAAAUGCUGUUGGAAUGCUUAAAUUUUCCCCUCCACACCCCAGUCCCAAAGGCCAGUCCACAACACUGAGGAUCAAGUGGAAAGUUUAGGCUCUUGCAACUGAUUUUUGUCAUCACUUCAGUGGCAGAUCAGGGCAGGAACAGCCUUUUUCUAACAGCAAAUUGGCCACAGUACCUUUGAGUCCCCUUCUCCCCACCCAUCUGCAUCACCACACAAGCUCAUUUCAAUGAAAAUGAUGUCAGUCUCUCAGCAAAAAGCCACUGAAAGCUUAGAGCAAGAGCACAGAAUAUCACCACUGAAUUGAUUCCAUUAAGGGAAAGUAAUGAUUUAUCAGACUCAGAGCCUGGAAACACAAAACAAAGUCCGUGGCAGAGCACAGAGAAACUCAUCAUCAACCAAGCAUGGAAAUAAGAAAGCUCUCAGCCUCCCACAAAUGAAGGAGUGAAAUACUGUGAUCAUGCCAGCAAGGGGUUCUUAGAGAUGUACAAAGAACCAGGAGGGAAGAAGACCAGAAGCUUCGUAGUGCUGGCAGGAAAACACAAGCAGCUCCCACCAGGUGGGAUGAAGAGCAUUAACACCCCCAAGGUGCUGUCCUGUAACAGCCUGUAACAAAACAGGUGCAACACCAAAAACCAUCCCAAAGCCGAACCCGCACGGCCUGGCCGUAAAACCAGCU